rnacentral:misc_RNA from 1 species
AGAUCUCAUCAUCAAGAUAAGUCUGCCUGCAAAGUAUCUGAAAAGAAGUCCCAAAAUCCUCCUGUUAAUAUAGUAUCAUAUAAACAGAUGAACAAAAUGACCCAGGAAAAGAUAGCGAAGCUUACCCAAAGAUGUCACCUCCUGGGUUCACCAAUCAAAGCAUAAUUAUAAUCAUCAUCUAGAGACAAAAUCCGAUAGUCCCCAACAACAGAAAAGAUGGGAAAGAAUGGAGGCACAUACAAUUUGACCUUGAGCUUAGCUUCAUCACUAUUGGGAUCAGCUUUGUAGGCAGUACCUUUUACGGAGCUUCUUUUGCCACACUCCAAGUCUCAUUCAGGACAUGAACAGUAUCAUCAUCAUUCAAAGUAUAGGUAGCCCUUGUGUUCUCUCCAUUUUUGGGUUGGAAAAAUGAUGGGAAUGAAGCUAUUUCAUA